rnacentral:rRNA from 1 species
AGUGGAUGGGGAGCAACCUAGUUGUGCGUGUGUAAAGGUAGUGCCAAGAAAAGCGAUGAUCAUGUUGAAAAUCAAUUCCCGGUACCCGAAACCGACACAGGUGGGCAAGUAGAGAAUACUAAGGGGCGCGAGGUAACUCUCUCCAAGGAACUCGGCAAAAUGACCCCGUAACUUAGGGAGAAGGGGUGCCACCGAGAGGUGGUCGCAGUGAAGAGGCCCAGGCGACUGUUUAGCAAAAACAUAGGUCUCUGCAAACUCGAAAGAGGAGGUAUAGGGGCUGACGCCUGCCCAGUGCCGGAAGGUUAAAGAAGUUGGUCAGUUUUAGGAUGAAGCUAGCGACUGAAGCCCCGGUGAACGGCGGCCGUAACUAUAACGGUCCUAAGGUAGCGAAAUUCCUUGUCGGGUAAGUUCCGACCCGCACGAAAGGCGUAACGAUCUGGGCGCUGUCUCGGAGAGAGGCUCGGCGAAAUAGGAUUGUCUGUGAAGAUACGGACUACCUGCAUUUGGACAGAAAGACCCUAUGAAGCUUUACUAUAGCUUGGAAUUGUGUUCGGGCUUCCUGUGCGCAGGAUAGGUGGGAGGCGUAGAAGGUAUUCUUGUGGGGAUACUGGAGCCAACGGUGAGAUACCACUCUCAGGAGGCUAGAAUUCUAACUUAAUUAAGGACAGUUUCAGGUGGGUAGUUUGACUGGGGCGGUCGCCUCCAAAAAGGUAACGGAGGCGUACAAAGGUUCCCUCAGACUGGUUGGAAAUCAGUCGAAGAGUGCAAAGGCAGAAGGGAGCUUGACUGCGAGAAGUACAGUUCGAGCAGGGUGGAAACACGGUCUUAGUGAUCCGACGGUGCUGUGUGGAAGGGCCGUCGCUCAACGGAUAAAAGUUACUCUAGGAUAACAGGCUGAUCUCCCCCAAGAGUUCACAUCGACGGGGAGGUUUGGCACCUCGAUGUCGGCUCAUCGCAACCUGGGGCGGAAGUACGUCCCAAGGGUUGGGCUGUUCGCCCAUUAAAGCGGUACGUGAGCUGGGUUCAGAACGUCGUGAGACAGUUCGGUCCAUAUCCGAUGUAGGCGUGAGAAUAUUGAGAGGAGCCUUCCUUAGUACGAGAGGACCGGGAAGGACGCACCGCUGGUGUACCUGUUAUGAUGCCAAUUGUAAACGCAGGGUAGCCAAGUGCGGAGAGGAUAACCGCUGAAAGCAUCUAAGUGGGAAGCCCACCUCAAGAUGAGUAUUCUGGUGUAAGGUCACGGGAAGACGACCCGUAAAUAGGCACGAGGUGGAAGUGCAGAGAUGUAUGAAGCCGAAGUGUACUAAUAGACCGUCGACUUG